GUCUCCGAUCUCCACAGCAACCCUCCCACCGCAUCGCGCGCAUCAGGCACAAGCCAAUGCUCGCCUAUCUGCUGAAUGGAAUGAGCAAUUAGAGGGUGGAAUAUUAUUGCGAUCUUAACGAGGCUCGUUAAAGCUAAAGAAGAUAUGUAGACUGGAGAUGCUUAGCAGAGACGGGAAGGGAGGGAGGGAGGCAGAGGGAGCUUUAAAUGGGUGACAAAUGGACAACCAAUGACUGCAACUCGGGAAUACACGUUUUGAAUAGAAGCGAGUCAAUUUGCACAUUGUUUUUGUAUAGUUUUUCCUGUAGUAGCUACUUUUUAGAAUCUUUUGAUCACUCCAUUCAUUUUUGUGCGACGGAAAUGAAGCGUUAGUCUUCUGGGUUACAUUUUCCUUUUCAUAGAUACAUGUGAUCGCUUUACAUUUUCUUGUUGUUUUGAAAAAACAAAAAAAAUAUGGUGUAGUCCCUUAAGCCUUUGAGGGUUUUUGUUUUUUGUCUUUUGUUUCUGUUUUUGUUUGUUUGUUUGUUGCCCUGGAUCCGUCGAUGGUUUAAAAAACUGCAUGUUUGCAAUUUUAUGACAUAAUCUGCGCAUGACUUUACUCGGCCUAGCUGUUCUGUGUGGUCACUUUGUGAUGGGUGGGUACUUGUCCGGGGGUAUACUGCAGUGAUGCCGCUCCCCCUCCUGCUGUCCCCGGCCCUGCCUCUGGGACGCUGGGUGCAGUCCUGGCCCCCUGCCCGUUGCCUUCUCUCCAACCAACAGAAUUUAUUGUUACAAAUUAAAAUCGACGCGCAGCAUUGUGUUGAUUGAACAAAGAUCACGGCAUUGUAGUGCGAAAACUAAUUUGCCAGUGGCAUCGCCCUUUUAACAGUUUAUCGCGUUUUUUAUGGCCCGGCCCUCUAAUUAAAACUAUUAGGCUAGUAUUGGAAUUACAAUCAAAUGGCAACAUGAAAGCUUCUUGGGGACAUAAAAGCUAUUUCAUUUAUUUGAUCUAGUGGUAAGGACAUGAUCAAUGUCCACAUUCAGUCAUAGGACUCGGCUUAUAGUGGUAGCCACGGCGGUGUGAUUUUCAUGUUUAUGGCUAAACCGGCUUCAUAUUUAGACAGAGCUUAUAGGGUGUUAAAAUAGUGUGAAUUCAGUCUAACACGAACAGUGCUCACAUUGUGAAAGAGCCGUAUACAGGGCAUAGAAUCUAGACUUCGCUUAAUCCACCCUCAGCAAAGCUGACAUAAUGAUCCUAAGCCGCCUUUCUACAAAAUCAUUCAGGAAUUCAAAACGUUCCCUUUCCUCUCUCCGAGUUGCACAUUCUCCCGGCUGACCAACGACUUCAAGCUUGGAGGGACAGGGAGCAAAUAAACAAAGCUGAUGUUACGUCACGUUUGGGAGUGAGAGAGGGAGAAGGGGACCGGAUGAGAGAAAGAAAGAAAAGGUGUUGACUGUAAAAGGUAAGAGGGAAAGAGAAGGCACGAAAGAAAGGGUCUUGUUUUAUUUUUUGCUCCCUCGUUGACCCCGGUUUGGCAGAAGCUUCCCAGAAAAGGCAGCACACCCCUCCCUGGCAAACACAGGAGAGGCACAUGUGCCUACUGCUCCAUCCUGGAUUCAUCUCAACAUUACACAGACACAUUGGAGAAAUGACUGGGCUGUAAGCUGGCUCCAGUCCACGAGCGGUUACCAUUUGAGCUUGGAAGCUGUCGUUGGAGAUGGCACCGCUUCACGGUUAUUUCACUGGUCAGUUUGUCCAAAAGUAGGAUGGAAAUCGAGCUGCAACGUCUGGGGACUUCCUGGCAGGGCUGGGAGCUUGUAUCGGAGCUGUCCAAUCAGUGUAUUUACACGGGUUGUUAGCGACAGUUAAUGAGGGCUCCUCCCCGGGCCGGUAGAGAAAGGCGCCUCAACAUUAAGAUUUACCUUGUGUCAACUCGUUACUUCUAAUGAACCUCCAUGCAAAAGCCUCCUCGUUCUCAAUGGAGCCGUGCGCCCGGAUCUUGUGUGUGAGACCCUGGAAGAGUGGAGCUGCAAGCCGGCCUCCCUCUCCCCCACCUCCUUUUCUUCCGCUCACUCAGGGAGUGUUGCUUUUUCUCUGCAGGCCCGGUUCUAUGAUGCAUGCAUGCAGUGUGUAUGUGCGUGUGCACAUGUUUGUGUGUGGGUACAUAUAGCCUCCUCUUCAUUGAAUAUGACGUUAGGAAUCCAAAUGUUUUCAUUAUAUAUUUAAAUUUGUGCAAAAAGGCUUUUCUCCAUGUAGAUUAACACAUAUUGGACUACAGCGUAAAAUUAUACGUAGGCUAUAUAUUUAUUUAAAAUGUUUUUAAUCGAUAAAGAAAAAAACAGUCAUUAGAAGUGUGUUCUGAGACAAGACAUAGGCGUAAGAGGGUGUUUGUGUUUGCGUGCACGUAUCACAAACCAUAUGUCUUCUAUUGUUUGGUGAAUGAGGCUUGACAUGUCAGCUUAUUGCCCCUGCAGAAGUAAGUUCAUUUAUAAUCACCCUCCAUCCCCCACGAGAGCACCGAGCACAGAUCGGGCUCUGGCCCCUCUGUCCACCCCUCGUCUGGCCCCUAGUGAGGCUUGUUGAGCCGCAUCAGCAACACAUCACUGCCCCUCAAUUCAGGUACAAACUAGAGGAGUUUGGCAGCUCCCUGAAGUGGACUCCCCUCUUGCUCUUCUAGACCACAGAGACACCACUUAAAAAUCAAUUAGACUCGUCUAGUCUCUCCCUCCUCGCCAGUCAUUAUUAAAAAGAGAGAGAGAAAGAAGGAAAGAAAGAAAAAAAAACAGGUGGGAACACCAAAUUUUAGGAAGGACUAAAACCAAAAUCCAACUUUUGAUUCUUCGUUUGCGAAAGAAAAUUUGCAUUUGUACCCUCUAGCUUUGAGAAGUGGUUAUCUGACAGACUGUAAGAUAAAAUAAACAGAAAAGUAAAGUAAAAUAUGUUUGCACACGAUAAUGUACACCUUUUUUUCUUUUAGCCAAAUCUACAUCCACCAGCAGCCAGCAUGUGAUAAAGUUGCCCAAACUAUAUUUUCACGGUUGUUGGCACUUUGUCACCUGCUGGCAAAAGUGACAGAAAACAGUUUGAUUUCCAUAUCUGUUAUAAAGGGAAAAGAAGGGUUUUAAGUAAUGCCAUUACUUACACAAUCCCUUUCUUCAUACCGUCAACAUCGUAUUUAAUGCGCAUUUUCUCAUGGCGCCCUUUCUAGCAGCGGUUUAACCGCUCAGGCGCCUGGUCCUCCGUGUUACAGAUGUGCGGCAAUAUGACACAGCGCAGCAACGCUGGAGGAGGCCUCGUGUUCACUCUUCCAGGUGGAUAGGCUGAUUUGGAGACAGAGACACAGAGAAAUAAAUAUAAUGGCUGCAUAUCGAAUGCAUUGCCCCAAGCGCUACAUAUGAUGCUCACCUUGCCUUAUACGUUUUCCUAUUUUUUUUUUUAAACAGCUGAACAAUUUUUUAAAGCAAAGCAAGCCCCUACUCUCACAGCACUCUUAUCUCCCAGCACCUAACCCCUGAAGAAUCUUCAUUAAUCUGCAUGUGUAGAUCUCAAACUGUAUUCGGUCCUGUAUAGAGCUAACGGUAUAACCAGAUUGAUACUUUAAAAAAAAAUAUGUACAGAAUUACAUUUAAAAAAAAAAUCUGACUGUUUUGGAUUUGCCUGUCUAGACUGAUUAAGCGCUCAGUCUCUGAGAUGCAGAUAGGAGUUGCGGAGAUGGCCCUUUAGCCCGGUGUCACAGGAGCUGACAAGCUGUAAUUACUGUGGCUGACAGGUCGCUCUCAAAGCUUACUAAUGUGAGAGAUGUGGAUACCACAGACAGCAUGCACACAGUCGAGGCUACUCAACACUUUGGCCACGUAGUGCCUUUUUAACCCCUGUUCAGAUGCUGCUGGGCUGGCCACAUGCUCCGCAGAUGACCUUUUCCAUUUUAACAUUUCAGUAAUGAAAUAGCCACUUAUUUGCGAGCUAGUGAUAUGGUAGUAGAGAUGUGAAUGAGAAAAAAAUACACAUAAGACGGGUGAAAAGUUCUUUAACUUUCAUGCAGUUAUUUUGUUUUCAAUUAAGUUACACUGAUUUGACAACUAUAGCUAUGUAGCACUCCUAAAGAAGAAUAUUUUACACCCAAAUACAUGAUCAUUUGAAGAUAUUAUGUAAUGAUGCAGCUUUCACCUCCAGCCCCCAGUUAAUUUUUCAUUGACGUAAUACAGGUAAACUCAGUACAUCCAUAACAGAAAGUUUAAAUACUCACAUACUGAACACGUGGUACUUUUGCUUUAAUACUUUCAUUUUGUGCUGGUUUUUUUAAAAAAAAAUUAAUCUUUCAUUUUAGAGGGAAAUCAUGCAUGUUUUAUGUUUUUAUGUUUUACUUCCACAGCAGUUAUACAGCAAUAAAAUCCCAGUACAUCAGUGAUAAGUGUAAUCUAAAUAACUGCAGUAUUACUUUUGAUAGUUAAAACAUUGUGCUAAAACCUCUUUUCCACUUUUACAGAAUAAAACUGUAACCACAAGAUUUUUUACUCAGUGAAGUACAUUUACAUUGUGGCUGCUUGAGAGCCUGGUUAGGGUUCUUUAUCUAUUUUAUAAGACAAGCUUUAUAAAUACAGACAGGUGACAUAUUAAAGAAAAAAAACAUGAACUCUUGACCCUUCAGUGAGGGGACUGGCAGCUCUGGUAUGCUGUGGGGUGCGCUUUACUGGCACGAUCUGGUUCCACUUGUCCCCUUAGAGGGAACAUUUGCAGUAUAUUAAUACAGAGUUGUUUUGAGUGAACACUUUUAUCUUUAUGACACAGUUCUGUCUUGAUGCAAGUGGACCAUUCCAGGAUGAUGAUGCCCCCAUCCAAAGUUCAUGAGAGCUCCCUGGAUGGCUUGCAGAGUAUGAAAAUCAUACGAAUCAUAUGCAGUUGCUUUCACAGACAUCGACUGACAAAACAUCAAAUGAGCAAAGAACUUUUGGAAGAACUGUGGCCCGUCCUUCCAGUGACUUUAGACUUUAGAUGUCAAGAACCUGAAAUUGUUCUGGCAGCACAUCGUGGUUUAACAAUCUAAAUUUUGUAUUUUCCUUUAACCUGUCAUCUACCUACAUUGCAUUCCACAAUAUAAGAUGCUGGAUUUUGCCAUACGUUUAACCAGUAUGCAGUGCUCCAGUACAUGUAGUUGCUGCCUCUCUUACAAUAGAAUAGCCCUUCAUCAUCAACAAAACCUACAGAGCCUAAUUUCCUCAGUGGAUAAAUACUCUAAUGCUUCAGUUUGUAAUAGAGUAAUGUAAGAAAUCUAUAGAUCCACACUGAGUAAUCCACCCUCCCCUUUCGCGUGACUAUGUGAAGGUCACAGUCACCGUUUAACCCAUAUUUCCGUGUCAAAUGCCGAUUGUUUGGAUGAUUGUGUGAUAGCGAAGCAUGCAUCUUUCUCGCUCACAUUUUAAUUUUAAUUUAUAACUUGUUAAACUAAAUUUUCCAUUUUCCAUGAAUUCUUUUACAGUUUAGGAGAACGAUCAUCUUCGUGUCAAGCUCACCUUUAGAACAAUGAACACAUAUCCUGUUUCCUUUGGACUGUCAUAGGUUUUUGUGUUUUGUGUGGAGUUUUUUUGAAUGUUUAUUGUGACUGAGCUUGCACUUGGUUCGGUUUCUGUGUGUGUGUUUUUUUUGUUUUUAUAUCUAGAUAAAUUUCCCGUUUAUUCUUAAUCUUUUGUUAGGAUCAAAUAACAUGUUAAUAUCCUUUGGCUUUUUCCGUUGUUUCAAAUAGGCUUCCUUAGCUUGCGGCAUUAUUUGGUUUACUCGCUCUCCCCCCCUCUCUCUCCCCUGUCCUCUCCUCUCCUUGACUGCAGCUUUUGACAUUACUCCUCUCGAUUGCCCGUUUACCCCCAAGUCAAGUUUGAGGUAGGCAUGAAGUGUAAAAGAGGUGGGCCAUGUCAUAUCCGCUCAGUGUGCAUGGGAUUGUCUGCUUCCACGGCUGUAAUUAUUGUUGGGGAGAACAAUUCGUGCACAGAGUGCCCGGGCAAGCAGGAAGGUAGCAUAUCAGAGAAAGAACAGUCACAAAGUUGGCUCAUGAAGGUUUUUUUCUUGGCAGAAGUAGAAAUAUGGGUUGGUUUUUAUGUGAGGCACAAUCGCAUUUAGAAGUUUACCUACUUUGCUUGUAUAUUUGGGUAGAUUUGGCUUGCAUUAAAAUCAUUUCGCCAACUAUAGCGUUUACUUUGCUUGACUUUAAGGGAUUUUGUGAAACUAAUCUAAGGGUACUCUCCCACCUGGACUCCACUUCAAGGAUAUUAAUAUUAAUGUGAAAUAACUACGUUAACAACACAGCUGCUUCGACAGCCCCAGGUGCAUAUUAAAGUUUAUUUGAAUGAAUUAAACGAAUAAAAAGUCUCUGAGAAACAGACUUGCCUUAUAUAAGUUCAUGAUAAGGCUACUAGACGACUCUUAAAUAUAAUUAUUUCACUUGGAGAACAUAAAUCGUCCAAAAUAUUUACCCCGAAGUAACUUAUAUUUAUGCAAAGUCUAGUAAGUACAGUCUGCAAUAUAUAUAGAUAUUUUUUGUCCACUCAGCCUUUGAAGAAGUUUAAUGGAAUACCCAGUAGACAAAACUGCAGCUACAUGGUGUUUUAAGUUACCUGCAUUCAUCUGAGUGUGCAGGGGGAAAGAAGAAGAAAAAAAGUUGCUGAACUAUUUACCUAAUUGUUCCCGAAACUUAGCUACAUAAAUCUAUUGCUAGGCAACAGAUUAGGCGUAGGUGUAGUGACUUUUGUUUUUACGCAGUCUCAGGUGUGUGUUUAUCGAAUACGUCACCGUAGCAGCCAAUCAGAAACGGGGAACGGAACUAACCGUCCUAUAACUAGAUAUUAGUUUACAAGAUAAUAACGGAGGGAUGCUGCGACCGAUGAGCCGGUUACUCACGGGUGAACAGAGCCAGUCCAAUCUGAUUUGUGUAGGCUACCCAUCUCCAUUUGACUCCCAGGAUCAAUAGCUGAUGUCUGAGAGCUAGGAGGGGGAGGGGGAGAAAGGAAAGGAAAGGAAAGGUGCAACAGGUUAAAUAGAAAAUGCCCAUAAUUAGACACACAACUUCUAUCAUACCGUUAAUAUAUAAUCUCAUCAAUAUUUUAUUUUCUCAAUUUUUAUUUUUUUACUUUUCAGCCUGCCAUUAAAAUUAGUUUAACUUAUUAAUGCUCAAAUACAUUAUUAUUAUUAUUAUUAUUAUUAUUAUUAUUAUUAUUAUUAUUAUUAUUAUUAUUAUUAUUAUUAUUAUUAUUCCUAAAAUCGAAUUAUUUCCUAUCCGAGUGUGUGGGGGGUAUAUUUUGCCUCCACACAAGGCUGAUUGGCUUUUGCAGUAUCAGUAGUUUGUAUCAGGUUAGUGGGCUGUGCACUCACCCACUCCUUACUACUGAAACCAUAAUGUUUUCAUGCACUGGGCUCAUACACACGCUGCUGAAAUCAGUGGAGCCUGCAUAUGACCUGCAAUCUUUUCUGUGCAGCUUACUUGCGCAUAUACAAAAACCCUGAAGUGACACCCAGGCCACAAAGCGACAGUCACCGCAAGUAUUGUAAUAGCACAUACAUACUAACAUAAACCGAACAAAACAAACUUGACCUAUAUCCGCCUUCCUUUAUAGCGCAUUGAGAUAUUUCAGCGUUUUUGUUGUUGUUCAUUCAUUAUUCAGGUUUAGAUUAUUAUGGAUGGCAGAUGUCAGAGCGUGAUGGAGAUGUUUAUGUUUGACUGAUUUAAGGAGCCAUUAUCCCGCCCGCUUAUCAAACAUUCAUGUGUGGCAGCUGUAGUUGUGGAUCUGCCCUCCGUCGUGUCUCCUGUGGCCGCUUCAUUUCUCUUCUUAAGCAACCACGACCUUUCCACUCAGUUAACCUAUUAUCUUUUAACAUUUAGAGGCAGCUUUACUCCAUCAGAAGACGAAAUAAUCUAAAAGCAUUAGACACAGACUAUAUAUCAGAGAAAAAGAAAUAUAUGUGAAAAAAUAUACAUCUAACAGAAAAGAACCUAACCCUUUAUGGCACAGCCAUGUAGAAGAAAACACUAUAGAUUGAAAUUGCGAGCUCGACACAGUAGCGUAUCAGCUGGCCUUUCAGCAGAUAGGAUAAAGCUGUCUAAUGUCCAAUAGACUGUAAGUGUCGCAAAACAACGUGUGAUAAACCCGGAAUAGCACAGGAACAGUAAGUAAAAAUGCGCAACAGAACGUCUUAAUAUUAUAUAGUCCAAAUUAGAUGAAUAUUAAAUUUACAAUUGCUUAAAGUUAUUGAUACUUUACCCAUAAUUAGUCUUUACAGCUAAUGACAGAUUUGUAAACAUCCUAAUGAAACAGUCUGGCAGUAUGCAGAGCAAUUAAUUCUGACGGGAGUCGUCAAAGGCGUCACUAUUUUAUUGCUUUAAUACGACUUUUAGUUGUUAAGCAAAAUAAGAUCCAAACGAGCUUUUUUCUUUGCAUAAUAUUCACUCAGAUAAGUUCACACUGGGGCACUAGUACAGCACGCUCAUAACGAGCCUUAAGUUAGAUUGAUUGGAUUGGGAAAUAGUGACGCUUUUCUUUUUGAUAAAUUUCUUGUUAUGCAGCAAUAAUAUCUAGAUUAUAAUGAGGUUUGAGACAGGCUAUUUGCGUUAUCAUAAAAUUUAAAAUUAGACGUUAAGAAAAGAAAAGAAAAGAAAAGAAAAGAAAAAAAGAAAGUUUUUUUCCAAAUUUCAGAACGGGUUGUUUUUGUUUUGUUUGUUUUUUACUCAAUGUUGAUUUUACCCAUUUAAUCCACCAUCAAAUGAGAUAAAAAGAGAUUUAACUUUAAGUUUAAUAUUGGCCAAAAGAGAGAAAAAAAAUAUUUUUAAGAAAUCCUUUUGCUUCAGCCUAAUAUUUUCUCUCCCUGUCGGCUGAGGCUGCACAGACCAUCCAGCGUCCGCACUUUGUAAUUGCCCUGUGAACACGGUAGUUUUCAUUCUUUUGACCCUUCCAUGAACAGCACGCCGCCGCCCUCGCUUGCUCCCCUCCACCCCAUCCAAACAGACCCACACAAUGCUGCGUGUGCGCGCGCGCUCUGCGGUAUGUGGGCUAAAUGUCGUGCAGAGGUAAUGGGAAGUAGUCGGACGGUAGGGUCGCGAGUUCACGGCGGGGUUAAAGAGACCCGUCCGUGGCUCCUGUUUGCUUUUUUUCCACAACUCCGCUUCCUUCCUACAGGAGGAUGUGUCCAGUGUGCCACCGUCCUCACCUCGCAACAACCCCGUCACUGCACAGACCGUGUUUGUUUUUCUGCGUUUAUUAAAUCUUCCCCCGGCAGGAAAACGACCAGUAUCACCACGUCACUGGGUGCUGGUGAGUUUAGCACUUUGCAUCCCUCCUCUGCUCCCUGAGAACGCUUUUGUGUUUGGACUUGUGAAGUCUCGCGUCUAUUUAUAUCCCCACAUGCAGGCUGUCUGUUCAGCCCUUUUUCCCUUCAGUUUAUCAUAUUUCUUCAAGAUUUUUUCAAGGUUUUUUUGUUCCAGAAUCACAGCUGACACAUUUUUAAAUAAAAUCAAAAACAAAAAAAAUAACUUUUAUUGUACACCAAGAAUCAGAUUAAUAAUAACAAAAAAUAAAGGAUAACUUCAGCUGUUUCACCUAAUAAAGAGGUUCCCAUGCACUCUUUGUACUUUAUUUAAAAAACAUUUGAUCAUUAAUAAAUUUUGUCAUCAAAAAAAGACAGCGACCUCCCUCAUAAUGAACAAAACAGUCUCCCACCUAUGCCCCUUAUCAAGGUUUUUUCUUUUUCUUUUUGAUGAAUCCGGAGCAUAAACCAUAUUUAAGCAGCAUGACAAUGAUGUAAGUUGUUAAAAGAGAAAAAAAGAGCAGAGAUUAUUAUUAUCUCAUUAAGGAUAACUGCCUGCAGGUCCGCUGGGUUAUCCGCCAUUUUAAUUGCCGCUGCAUCAUUAUUCAGGCCUUUAACCAUUUUAUAGAGUUUUCCUCUAAUGAAAUGAGGAUGUGUGCAUUAUGGAAAUUGCAUCUCUAUAUGAUGUAGAUUAUUCUCUUGAGAAACCACGUAAAAUAUUAAUCAUUGAAGCCGUAUAUGAUAAAAUUUCCUCCUCUAUUGUAUUUGCCAUUCUAGCUCUCUAUUCUUGUGUGUCUUCUGUCUCUGCAGGUGGCAGGUAGGUGCUAUUUCAGCUUACUUUACAGCUUCUUUUUUCUAGUUUGUGAAGUUUAACAAGGGGAUCUGAAUUGAAAAUAGUUUUUUAUACAAGACAAGGAAAAUAUUUAAUGUCCAUAUUGAAAAAGUUUUUUCUUUUGCAGUUAGUUUUCUAUUACAGCUUUGUUAAUAAAACAACAAUAAAAACGUGUUUUAAAACCA